ensembl:lncRNA
CUGACAGAUAGGGAGAAAGUCAGGAGAAGGCAUGAUGUGUGAUUAAGGGGCCGAAAGGACUGGCUUGGGAGGUGAAAGUGCUGACAUUAGCUUGCUUUGCACCACCAGUGCCUAGAGAUGCGGUCUGACAAAAGGGUGGCAACAAGCCCAAAGAGAGACUGGCUGGAUGUGGAUAAAAAUAUGAAAAUUUGCUUCUUAUUGCUUUCUUCAAGAGUAUAAGCCCUCAAUGAUUGACUGGUUUGAUCUCCUUGCAGUCCAAGGGACUCUCAAGAGACUUCUCCAGCACCACAGUUUGAAAGCAUCAGUUCCUCGGUGCUCAGCCUUCUUUGGGCUUCCCUGGUAGCUCAGCUGAUAAAAAACCUGCCUGUAAUACAAGAGACUUGGGUUUGAUCCCUGGGUUGGGAAUAUCCCCUGGAGAAGAAAAUGGCUACUCACUCCAG